CUAUAACAUUAUUGGUUUAAUGCUACCUCAACGUUUUUAUUGCGUCCUUAGGUAAAUAGGAAUGACGUUAAAAACCCUCCGGAUGACCACCGUGGUAAUGAGGGCAAUGCCUUGCUGCGGAGCUGCCACCAGGUGAUGCGCGGCGAGUUCUUCUCCCCAGACUACCUGUGCUCCAACCCACCGCUCUGGUGUAACUGGACCAUCCAGGUAGACCCUGGUAAACGUGUGCACCUCCAUCUAGAGGACUUCACCCAGUCAGACGCAUGCAGCGGAAAGCUGGACCAGAUCCACCUGGACGAGCCCCUGGGGGUCACAGGAUCCUGGAGAAGUGUUGGCGUGAGGCCAAGUACAGGUCCCUCUCCAACAUCCUCCAUGUGGUUCAGCUGAUCAGAGGCAAACCCAGUCCGCCCCACAGUGGCUUCUAUGGGUGUUACGAGGCGUUCGUACCGCCAGUCACGUACAAUGCUUAUGGUGAUACCACCAAAGAAGACAGGAAGUUGAUGACUGAACCAAAAGCGACAGAACUGGAACCCUUUCCCUCUCUGAGAAGUUUCACCAAGUUUCUCCCCAUGAAGGGGGGUGACCCUACAGAGGCCAUUUUACUGGAGCGCCCCCACCCCGCCAGCUCAGACCAACUGAUGGUGUUUGACUAUUUCGACCAACUCACUUCCUCCUCUGCAUCCAAUGAGCUUCCAUCAUGGGAAGCAGAGGAGCCAAUGGUCCUUCAAGUUUUAUCCUUUUCAGAGAGAGGAAGAAGAUUGGAAGAGAGGAAUCUCCGAGGGGACUGAAUUAGAUGAGUCGCUUGACAAAGGAAGACUGGGAGGUGGGUAACUUGAGUGGCGAUGUGGUGGACAAUGAAUCCCAUCUGCCUUUGACUCCCACUCCCCCCUUGGUCUUCACUCAUCAGGGUACAUCAUGGUCAGGGAGGGGUGCCACACAGACCCACACAGCACACCCUGGAAGUGACCCCUCACACCAGCCCCCUGUCUUGAAUCCCAAACCCUCGCCACGCACUUCAUCUGCUAUGCGAAGGAACGUGGAUGCCCAAACUACAAAUGCCAUCCCUCCUACCGAGUCUAACAUUGUGUCACACACAACAGAUGUGGAUGACCACAGUGAGGAGUCUGGCAAUAAAGAAUUUCUAAAAAUGGCCAUGGGUGAGUCUACAGCAUCCAGUGCCACUCAUACACCCACUGAGACCAAGGAUCCCUUUGACCAUCUCCCAGACAUGGUUGAACCGUUCUUCGACAGCAGACAAUAUAGUAGGUAGUCAGCAAUUUCAUUUGCAUCCUUUGUCUGUUUUAUGAAAACUGUCUUGCAAUGUUGACUUUGCAGAGAAAGUCAGAAAUCAUACCGAAGUACCACACUUACCAGAAGGUGAGUUAUUUUUUUAAUUU